GAUGAACGCUGGCGGCGUGCCUAAUACAUGCGAGUCGAGCGAACAGAUAAGGAGCUUGCUCCUUUGACGUUAGCGGCGGACGGGUGAGUAACACGUGGGUAACCUACCUAUAAGACUGGGAUAACUUCGGGAAACCGGAGCUAAUACCGGAUAACAUUUGGAACCGCAUGGUUCUAAAGUGAAAGAUGGUUUUGCUAUCACUUAUAGAUGGACCCGCGCCGUAUUAGCUAGUUGGUAAGGUAACGGCUUACCAAGGCGACGAUGCGUAGCCGACCUGAGAGGGUGAUCGGCCACACUGGAACUGAGACACGGUCCAGACUCCUACGGGAGGCAGCAGUAGGGAAUCUUCCGCAAUGGGCGAAAGCCUGACGGAGCAACGCCGCGUGAGUGAUGAAGGGUUUCGGCUCGUAAAACUCUGUUAUUAGGGAAGAACAAAUGUGUAAGUAACUGUGCACGUCUUGACGGUACCUAAUCAGAAAGCCACGGCUAACUACGUG
rnacentral:rRNA from 1 species